rnacentral:rRNA from 1 species
GAGUUUGAUCAUGGCUCAGAGCGAACGCUAGCGGCGGGCCUAACACAUGCAAGUCGAGCGCAUACCUUCGGGUAUGAGCGGCGGACGGGUGAGUAACACGUAGGUCAUUUACCCUUUGGUGGGGGAUAACCCAGGGAAACUUGGGCUAAUACCGCAUGCGGCCUGCAAAGGUCAAAGCCCGCAAGGGCGCCAGAGGAUGAGCCUGCGUCGCAUUACCUAGUUGGCGGGGUAACGGCCCACCAAGGGGACGAUGCGUAGCUGGUCUGAGAGGAUGAUCAGCCACACUGGGACUGAGACACGGCCCAGACUCCUACGGGAGGCAGCAGUGGGGAAUAUUGCGCAAUGGGCGAAAGCCUGACGCAGCCACGCCGCGUGAGUGAUGAAGGCCUUCGGGUUGUAAAGCUCUGUCGGGAGGGACGAAGUUCUGACGGUACCUCCAAAGAAAGCACCGGCUAACUCCGUGCCAGCAGCCGCGGUAAUACGGAGGGUGCGAGCGUUGCUCGGAAUCAUUGGGCGUAAAGCGUACGCAGGCUGUCCUCCAAGUCGGGUGUGAAAGCCCAGGGCUCAACCCUGGAACUGCGCCCGAGACUGUUGGACUUGAGUGCGGG